GAUGAAGAACGUAGCGAAAUGCGAUAAGUAAUGUGAAUUGCAGAAUUCAGUGAAUCAUCGAAUCUUUGAACGCACCUUGCGCUCCUUGGUAUUCCGAGGAGCAUGCCUGUUUGAGUGUCAUUAAUAUAUCAACCUUCUCUUUUUUGAGUUGUUUGGAUGUGGGGGUUUGCUGGCCUCUUAAAUGAUUCAGCUCCCCUGAAAUGCAUUAGCAGAACAACCUGUUCAUUAGCGUGAUAAUUAUCUAUGCUAUUGAAUGUGAGGGCAGUUCAGCUUUCUAACCGUCCUUGGACAAUUCAUCAUUAAUGUGACCUCAAAUCAGGUAGGACUACCCGCUGAACUUAAGCAUAUCAAAAGCGGAGGA
rnacentral:misc_RNA from 1 species